rnacentral:hammerhead_ribozyme from 1 species
AGCCGGCUGACAAGUCCAAAAUAGGACGAAAUGCGCUUUAUCCUGGAU